rnacentral:rRNA from 1 species
GAUGAACGCUGGCGGCGUGCCUAAUACAUGCAAGUCGAGCGAACGGACGAGAAGCUUGCUUCUCUGAUGUUAGCGGCGGACGGGUGAGUAACACGUGGAUAACCUACCUAUAAGACUGGGAUAACUUCGGGAAACCGGAGCUAAUACCGGAUAAUAUUUUGAACCGCAUGGUUCAAUAGUGAAAGACGGUCUUGCUGUCACUUAUAGAUGGAUCCGCGCUGCAUUAGCUAGUUGGUAAGGUAACGGCUUACCAAGGCAACGAUGCAUAGCCGACCUGAGAGGGUGAUCGGCCACACUGGAACUGAGACACGGUCCAGACUCCUACGGGAGGCAGCAGUAGGGAAUCUUCCGCAAUGGGCGAAAGCUUGACGGAGCAACGCCGCGUGAGUGAUGAAGGUCUUCGGAUCGUAAAACUCUGUUAUUAGGGAAGAACAUAUGUGUAAGUAACUGUGCACAUCUUGACGGUACCUAAUCAGAAAGCCACGGCUAACUACGUG